rnacentral:rRNA from 1 species
GACGAACGUUGGCGGCGUGCUUAAUACAUGCAAGUCAACUGAAGCAGUGGUAGCAAUAUCGCUGUGGAGGUGGCGCACGGGGGAGUAACACGUAGGUAAUCUGCCUUCAGGUCUGGCAUAACUCCGGGAAACCGGGGCUAAUAGCAGAUGAUGCAGCGGCUCGACAUCGAGACAGUUGUUAAAGCUAUGUCGCCUGAAGAUGAGCCUGCGUCUGAUUAGCUAGUUGGCGGGGUAACGGCCCACCAAGGCAACGAUCAGUAGCUGGUCUGAGAGGAUGAUCAGCCACACUGGAACUGAGACACGGUCCAGACUACUACGGGAGGCAGCAGUAAGGAAUAUUGCUCAAUAGGAGAAAUCCUGAAGCAGCAACGCCGCGUGAGGGACGAAGGGCUUUUGCUUGUAAACCUCUGUAGUGAGAGAAAAAAAUCCCAAUCUUUGGGACAUGAUGGUAUCUCAAAAGUAAGCCCCGGCUAACUACGUG